rnacentral:rRNA from 1 species
CAGUAGCCGCGGGAAUACGGAGGGUGCAAGCGUUAUCCGGAUUUAUUGGGUUUAAAGGGUCCGUAGGCGGAUCUGUAAGUCAGUGGUGAAAUCUCACAGCUUAACUGUGAAACUGCCAUUGAUACUGCAGGUCUUGAGUAAAUUUGAAGUGGCUGGAAUAAGUAGUGUAGCGGUGAAAUGCAUAGAUAUUAUUUAGAACACCAAUUGCGAAGGCAGGUCACUAAGAUUUAACUGACGCUGAUGGACGAAAGCGUGGGGAGCGAACAGGAUUAGAUACCCCCGUAGUCCCUGUCUCUUAUAC